UAAAUGUUUAUAAAUGAAGUCAAAUGUUCACAGGAUUUUAUAAAUGAAAAUAGUAAUAGAAACAUUUUUUUUGUAGUAGUAGUAGUAUUUAUAUUGCUAAAGCCUUUCUCAUUAUGAAGAAAUGGUGCAGCAAAAAGCAGGCUGUAGGAAAGAAGAAUUAUUCAAGGGAAGAAUUCUGAAGGCUUGCAAUUUGUCCCUGUGGACUUAUUUGCGAACAGCCUGACAACAGUACUGCUCACCAAGCCCUUGGGUGCUGUCCCUGCAGAAGCAUGGUUUUUCUCUUCAUUCCAACUCUUUAUAUACCAAGUUAAUAAAAUGUUCAGGAUUUUCAAACACUUCCAUGGUUAAAUAAGUUAUUCAGAAAAUUAUAAACAGCUCCACAGAGGGAGGACUCCACUAUUGAUCCAUCUCUAAAAAGAACUUUAAUACUGAAAUAUUUGACAGGUUAAUGUCAUAACACUUCUACAUCUCUAGCUAUUUAUAGGUUUCCUAAGUACUCGUAAUCAUCGUGUUCCAGUAAAGCAUACUAGAUGAUUCCUAAUUUUUGUUUUGAUGUCAAUGCUUUCUUUUAUUUUGGACAAGCUAACAGACAUUUCUUAAUGUCAGUAAAAUGAGGAGUCUUACAGUUCAAGAAAGCAGAGACUGAAAGAAGAGAACAUUGCAGACAAAGAUGAUACUUUAAUUCUCAACUGUCACAAGAAGCACAGG